GAGGGUAUAGCUCAGUAGUAGAGCACGCGUUUAGCACAUACAAGGUCCUGGAUUCAAUCCCCAGUACCUCCA
rnacentral:tRNA from 1 species